AAUGAACGUUGGCGGCGUGGAUUAGGCAUGCAAGUCGUGCGGAAAGGCCCCGCAAGGGGUACUCGAGCGGCGAAAGGGAUAGUAAUGCGUGGAUACCUGCCCCUGGGACGGGGAUAGCUGCUGGAAACGGCAAUUAAUACCCGAUGAUGUCUCCGGACCAAAGGUGCGAUUCCGCCCGGGGAGGGGUUCACGUCCUAUUAGCUAGUUGGCGAGGUAACGGCUCACCAAGGCCACGAUGGGUAGCGGGUGUGAGAGCACGACCCGCAUCACUGGGACUGAGACACUGCCCAGACACCUACGGGUGGCAG
rnacentral:rRNA from 1 species